GACGAACGCUGGCGGCGUGCUUAACACAUGCAAGUCGAACGGAAAGGUCCUGCUUUUGGGGGGUGCUGGGGGGGCGAACGGGAGAGUAACACGUGAGUAUGCUGCUCCCGACUUUGGGAUAACUUCAGGAAACUAGGGCUAAGACCGGAUAGGAGCUCCUGCUGCAUGGUGGGGGUGGGAAAGAUACGGCGGUUGGGGAUGGACCCGCGGCGUUUCUGCUUGUUGGUGGGGUAGCGGCUUACCAAGGCUUUGACGGGUAGCUGGCCAGAGUGGGUGACCGGCCACUCUCGCUGUGACAUACAGCCCGGCCUCCUUCGGGCGGCAGCCGUGAGGGAGAUUGCAUGCUCAGCGGACGCCUGCUGCAGCCACGCCGGCUGCGGGAUGACGGCCUUCCGUUUGUAAACCGCUUUCGCCUGUGACGAAACGUGAGUGACGGUAAUGGGUAAAGAAGCACCGGCUAACUACGUG
rnacentral:rRNA from 1 species